UGCACGCGGUGCGGGGGUGUUGGGUACGGAAGAGGGGGGUAGCGGUGGUCGGAAUUGGUGGGUGUAAAGCGCGUGUAAGCGGUCUGGCAAGGCGCGUGUGAAAGCUGCAGGCUGAACCUGGAAAGGGCGCGUGAAACUGGCGGACUUGGAGUGUCGGAGAGGGUGGCGGAAUUCCCGGGUUAGAGGUGAAAGUCGUAGAUAUCGGGAGGAACACCAGAGGCGAAGGCGGCCACCUGGACGAGCACUGACGCUGAGAAGCGAAAGCGUGGGGAGCAAACAGGAUUAGAUACCCCAGUAGUC
rnacentral:rRNA from 1 species